GGCUGGUCCGAUGGCAGUGGGUUAUCAGAACUUAUUAACAUUAGUGUCACUAAAGUUGGUAUACUACGCCCCCCCCCAUGCUAAAUUUGCCUGGCUUUAA
ensembl:misc_RNA Y_RNA Y RNA